rnacentral:rRNA from 1 species
GUCUUAAGCAUGCAAGUCGAACGGCAGUACAAGAGCUUGCUUUUGUAUUAGAGUGGCGGACUGGUGAGUAACACGUGGAUAAUCUACCUUGAGGACGGGGAUAGCUGCUAGAAAUAGCAGAUAAUACCGGAUAAUCUUAAAUGUUAAAACAUAUAAGUAAAGGGAGCUAUGGCUUCGCCUUAAGAUGAGUCCGCGGUCCAUCAGCUUGACGGUGAGGUAACGGCUCACCGUAGCGACGACGGAUAUCCGGCCUGAGAGGGUGGACGGACACAUUGGGACUGAGACACAGCCCAGACUCCUACGGGAGGCAGCAGCUAAGAAUCUUCCGCAAUGGGCGCAAGCCUGACGGAGCGACGCCGCGUGAAUGAAGAAGGCCGAAAGGUUGUAAAAUUCUUUUAUAUGCGAAGAAUAAAGUGCAUAGGUAAUGAUGCAAAGAUGACGGUACCAUAUGAAUAAGCCCCGGCUAAUUACGUGCCAGCAGCCGCGGUAACACGUAAGGGGCGAGCGUUGUUCGGAAUUAUUGGGCGUAAAGGGUACGUAGGCGGCUAGGUCAGUCUGGUGUGAAAUUCUCAAGCUUAACUUGAGAACUGCACUGGAUACUGCUUAGCUUGAAUCACGGAGGGGAAACUGGAAUUCUAGGUGUAGGGGUGGAAUCUGUAGAGAUCUAGAAGAAUACCGGUGGCGAAGGCGAGUUUCUGGUCGAUGAUUGACGCUGAUGUACGAAAGUGCGGGGAGCAAACAGGAUUAGAUGCCCUGGUAGUCCGCACUGUAAACGAUGUACACUGUGUGUCGGGACUUAAGUUUCGGCGCAGAAGCAAACGUGUUAAGUGUACCGCCUGGGGAGUAUGCCGGCAACGGUGAAACUCAAAGGAAUUGACGGGGGCCCACACAAGCGGUGGGGCAUGUGGUUUAAUUCGAGGAUACGCGAGAAACCUUACCCGGGUUUGACAUCAGGAGCAAGAGUAUGGAGACAUGCUUGCGUAGCAAUACGGCUCCUGACAGGUGCUGCAUGGCUGUCGUCAGCUCGUGCCGUGAGGUGUUGGGUUAAGUCCCGCAACGAGCGCAACCCCUGCUGUCAGUUGCUAACAGGUAAAGCUGAGGACUCUGACGGGACUGCCGAUGACAAAUCGGAGGAAGGCGGGGACGACGUCAAGUCAUCAUGGCCCUUAUGUCCGGGGCUACACACGUGCUACAAUGGUUGCCACAGACUGAAGCGAAGUUGCGAAGCGGAGCGAAGCGUAUAAAAGCAAUCGUAGUCCGGAUUGAAGUCUGAAACUCGACUUCAUGAAGUUGGAAUCGCUAGUAAUCGCGCAUCAGCACGGCGCGGUGAAUAUGUUCCUGGGCCUUGUACACACCGCCCGUCACACCAUCCUAGCUGAAGGCACCCGAAGUCGCUAGCUUAACCUGCAAGGGGUGGCGGUGCCGAAGGUACGUUCGGUAAGGAGGGUGAAGUCGU